AGCCAUUGAAGACCCGCGGCGCAGCCGGACCGGUUUUUCCGGGCAGGUGGUUUCCGUCUUUGUGGUUCUAGGCUGCUGACAGGGUGGGGUCGACGGGACUUUAAGAAGCUGGCCUCGGGCGUGGAGAGAAAGUAGUCUGCAGCGCGGGAGGACGCGGGCGUGGCCUUUUCUCCGUCAGUCCUGGGAAUCUGACCCAAUGCAAAAGCGAUGAAGGUGGUGUUCAAAUGACAGGAGGUUUGAGAGCAAGAAAGGAGGGACCUUUGCCUCCCACCAAGUAGUCUCUGACCUGCUGUCUGGUUGUCAUCUCCAGUGCUUGUAUCCUUUACCCCAUUCUAUCAGCUUCAGAGCUUCCUGAGUACUAUUCUACCCCUCGGAUGUUCUAUGUUCUUAUCUAAUAAGGAUUAAAGCCACCUCAGUGUGGAAGCCACAACCAAUGACAGCAGCAGGCAGCCUCCAGAGAGCACUUCAUGAUUGGGAUGGUUAAUAUUGCCAAUUUGACAUUUGACGUAUCUAGAAUCACCCAUCAGGCCCAACCUGAAUGUGGACAGCACCAUUCAUUCCAUGACUAGGGUCCCAGACUGAAUAAAAAUGGACAAAGU